AACGAACGCUGGCGGCAGGCUUAACACAUGCAAGUCGAACGCAUCCUUCGGGGUGAGUGGCAGACGGGUGAGUAACGCGUGGGAACGUGCCCUUCAGUUCGGGAUAACCCAGGGAAACUUGGGCUAAUACCGGAUACGUGCGAGAGCAGAAGGAUUUAUCGCGGAAGGAUCGGCCCGCGUCUGAUUAGCUAGUUGGUGGGGUAAUGGCCCACCAAGGCGACGAUCAGUAGCUGGUCUGAGAGGAUGGUCAGCCACAUAGGGACUGAGACACGGCCCAAACUCCUACGGGAGGCAGCAGUGGGGAAUAUUGGACAAUGGGCGCAAGCCUGAUCCAGCCAUGCCGCGUGAGUGAUGAAGGCCUUAGGGUUGUAAAGCUCUUUCGUCCGGGACGAUAAUGACGGUACCGGAAGAAGAAGCCCCGGCUAACUUCGUGCCAGCAGCCGCAGUAA
rnacentral:rRNA from 1 species